CUACCUAGCAGGUGAACAAGGGAACAGACCAUUUUUUGGGGGGAGAAAAGUAAACAUGAAAAUUAAGGCAAAGUGCAAGCAUCACAAAUUGAAGAGGUUGGAGAAAAAAUGUUGUAUUCAUUAUAAGAACAAGUAUAAAGUAACUACCCUGUGCAUAAUUUACAUCAUGGGUGUUGCGCAAACAAAAAUAUCCACAAAAUCUUACCCUUUUAAUGAUUUUUUUUCUUAAUUGCAGAUUAAUGGGCUGGUAAUUUGUCCCUGUGAUCUGCUUUUAAAAGCUGAGCAAGAAAACACUAGAAUGCUCCAAAUAUGCUGUUGUCUUCUUUUCAAGGCAGAAUUGUAGAAAAGCCUGGACCAGAAGAUAUCACACAGACACAGCGACCUUCAAGCCCAGAACUUUGGAGGAGCUCCAAGGACUGUAUGUGCUGCAACAAAGAUGAAGAUGAGGAAGAAGGGGUCCCAAAGACCCCAAACCCAAUUCUCAGAGGGGCGUGUCGGGGGGCAGAACUGGGCAGAGCCAGUGAGUGGACAGAUCUCAGAUUGGAUAGACCUUGUUAUAAAAUCAUAGAACCACUCUCUGGGAGGCGCGCGUGACGUGUAUUCCCCUGUCCUGAGGCUUCAUUAAAGGACCUACUCUCUUUAUCUUAUCUUAUACACUAAAUUGGCCUGGAGUCUUUUUCUCCACACUCUUUUUAGGCAACAAGAUAAUAAUACCAAAUUCUUAAAGUCACUGAAAAUAUUCCUCACUGAAAAUGUUCUUCACAGUGGCAGAUCUCAGCUUUGCACAAUUUAGAGCUUCUCUGCCAGACCCCAAACCAUAGUAUGAGAAGAUUUUACUUUACAGCCAAGGAAGAUGCACCCUAAUUGACUCUGAGUCAAUUAUGGUGUGAAAAUAUUGGGCUAUAUUUGA